rnacentral:rRNA from 1 species
UACGUAGGGGGCAAGCGUUGUCCGGAAUCAUUGGGCGUAAAGCGCGUGUAGGCGGCUCGGUAAGUCCGCUCUGAAAGCCCGGGGCUCAACCCCGGGAGGCGGGUGGAUACUGCUGAGCUCGAGUCCGGAAGAGGAGUGUGGAAUUCCUGGUGUAGCGGUGAAAUGCGCAGAUAUCAGGAGGAACACCAAUGGCGAAGGCAGCACUCUGGGACGGUACUGACGCUGAGACGCGAAAGCGUGGGGAGCGAACAGG